rnacentral:rRNA from 1 species
GNNUCGNNGNUNACUCAACCCAUGUGAACGUUACCAAACUGUUGCCUCGGCGGGGUCACGCCCCGGGUGCGUCGCAGCCCCGGAACCAGGCGCCCGCCGGAGGAACCAACCAAACUCUUUCUGUAGUCCCCUCGCGGACGUAUUUCUUACAGCUCUGAGCAAAAAUUCAAAAUGAAUCAAAACUUUCAACAACGGAUCUCUUGGUUCUGGCAUCGAUGAAGAACGCAGCGAAAUGCGAUAAGUAAUGUGAAUUGCAGAAUUCAGUGAAUCAUCGAAUCUUUGAACGCACAUUGCGCCCGCCAGUAUUCUGGCGGGCAUGCCUGUCCGAGCGUCAUUUCAACCCUCGAACCCCUCCGGGGGAUCGGCGUUGGGGAUCGGGACCCCUCACACGGGUGCCGGCCCCGAAAUACAGUGGCGGUCUCGCCGCAGCCUCUCCUGCGCAGUAGUUUGCACAACUCGCACCGGGAGCGCGGCGCGUCCACGUCCGUAAAACACCCAACUUUCUGAAAUGUUGACCUCGGAUCAGGUAGGAAUACCCGCUGAACUUAAGCAUAUCAAUAGCCCGGAGGAAACGGGGCUGGGGGAACACCUCCAAUCCAAAUUCUCACUUUCGAGUCUGCUCUGCAGGGCCGGAACUGCAGCUGGGAUCUCUGCAGAUCGGGGCCUAGUGCUGGACACACAGCACGGUGCCCCAGGAUUCACCAGCACUAAGGUUCACGAUGUGACAUGAUCUUCCGAUGGUACUCGGGAGGUGCCGGGGGAAUGUGGGGGUUGCAGGCAGCAACUCAAAAAGCGCGNNGUUGGGACUCUCUAGUAAUGCUCAGAUCAAUAAAUUGCGGUAACUACUUCUCUUGUCCUUGUACAGGAGCGCCCGACACACUUGGGAGGGGCUGCUCCUCCAAGGAAUUCUUUCAUCGUAAGACGCUGCUGGCACGUAGGCAACGACG